AAAAGAAACUAAAUAGGAUUUCCAUAGUAACUGCGAGUGAACUGGAAUUAGCCCAUCACGAAAUCUAUAUUAUAAUAAUAAUAUCGAAAUGUCGUGUAUAGGUUUUAUUAUUAUUAAUAAAUUAUUAUUAAAUAAUUGUAUUUAAAUAUACAGCCACAGAAGGUGCCAGCCCUGUUAUUUAAUAAUAUUUAUUAAAUUUAUAAAACUUUAGAGUCGUGUUGCUUGGAAGUGCAGCACAAAGUUGGUGAUAAACAUCAUCUAAGGCUAAAUAUUCCUAUGAAUCCGAUAGCGAACAAGUACUGUGAAGGAAAAUUGCAAAGUACUCCGGAGAGAGAGUUAAAGAGGACGUGAAACCGAUACGAUGGAAGCAUACAGAGCCAGUUGCACUAUUAUUAAUAUUUUUUUAUUAAUAAUUUUAAGCAUGGGUAUAUUGAUUAUUAAUUAGUUAUUUAUUAAAGAGUGAUAAAAUUUUUUAAAUUUUGUUAACUUUAAUAAAAUAAUUAUAUUUAUAAUUAAUAUUAUAUAUUAUUAAUGUAUUAAUAAUAUUUUAAUUAUUAAUAUAAUAUAAAACACAUGUGUUAAAUAUUAUUUAUUAAUAAUUAUUAUAUUAUUAUAAAUUAAUAAACCUAUGUAAUCCUGGUAUGCUGUAUGUCCCGUCUUGAAACACGGACCAAGGAGUGUAUUGCUAUGGCAAGUCAUUGAUAUUAUUAAUAUCAAAGGCAUAAUGAAAAUAA
rnacentral:rRNA from 1 species